ACUCCUACGGGAGGCAGCAGUGGGGAAUUUUGCGCAAUGGGGGAAACCCUGACGCAGCAACGCCGCGUGAGUGAUGAAGGCCUUCGGGUCGUAAAGCUCUGUCAGAGGGGAAGAAAUGCAGGGUGCUAAUAUCGCUUCUGCUUGACGGUACCCUCAAAGGAAGCACCGGCUAACUCCGUGCCAGCAGCCGCGGUAAUACGGAGGGUGCGAGCGUUGUUCGGAAUUAUUGGGCGUAAAGCGCGUGUAGGCGGUUUGUUAAGUCUGAUGUGAAAGCCCCGGGCUCAACCUGGGAAGUGCAUUGGAAACUGGCAGACUUGAAUACGGGAGGGGGCAGUGGAAUUCCUAGUGUAGGAGUGAAAUCCGUAGAUAUUAGGAGGAACACCGGUGGCGAAGGCGGCUGCCUGGACCGAUAUUGACGCUGAGACGCGAAAGCGUGGGGAGCAAACAGGAUUAGAUACCCUGGUAGUCCACGCCGUAAACGAUGAGAACUAGGUGUUGCGGGUA
rnacentral:rRNA from 1 species